rnacentral:rRNA from 1 species
GAUGAACGCUAGCUACAGGCUUAACACAUGCAAGUCGAGGGGCAGCGAGAGGAAAGCUUGCUUUCCUUGUCGGCGACCGGCGCACGGGUGAGUAACGCGUAUCCAACCUUCCCCUUAGUAGGGCAUAGCCCGGCGAAAGUCGGAUUAAUACCCUAUGUUUUCCGAUGAGGACAUCUGAGCUGGAACAAAGAUUUAUCGCUAAGGGAUGGGGAUGCGUCUGAUUAGGUUGUUGGCGGGGUAACGGCCCACCAAGCCUACGAUCAGUAGGGGUUCUGAGAGGAAGGUCCCCCACAUUGGUACUGAGACACGGACCAAACUCCUACGGGAGGCAGCAGUGAGGAAUAUUGGUCAAUGGGCGCGAGCCUGAACCAGCCAAGUAGCGUGCAGGAAGACUGCCCUAUGGGUUGUAAACUGCUUUUAUGCGGGGAUAAAGUGCAGCACGUGUGCUGUUUUGUAGGUACCGCAUGAAUAAGGACCGGCUAAUUCCGUGCCAGCCGCCGC